rnacentral:rRNA from 1 species
CCUACGGGGGGCAGCAGUGGGGAAUAUUGCACACUGGGGGAAACCCUGAUGCAGCGACGCCGCGUGAGUGAAGAAGUAUUUCGGUAUGUAAAGCUCUAUCAGCAGGGAAGAAAAAAGACGGUACCUGACUAAGAAGCCCCGGCUAACUACGUGCCAGCAGCCGCGGUAAUACAUAGGGAGCAAGCGUUAUCCGGAAUUAUUGGGUGUAAAGGGUGCGUAGACGGGAAAUUAAGUUAGUUGUGAAAUCCCUUGGCUUAACUGAGGAACUGCAACUAAAACUGAUUUUCUUGAGUACUGGAGAGGAA